UUUUGGAAUUUGGAUUCGCGAGCUGCACGUAAUCAGGAAAUGAAUAUCUCCUAUGACCCCAACUAAUUUCAUGGCGAUUCCGACGUUUCCCUCUGGCUCGAUCUUAUCGAACCUCGCCUCUACCUCCACAUUCUUCCCAAUAGCUCCCUCUCUUCUCUUCACUCCACAUAUUGACCAAAACCCUAAAUCGGAGUGAUUCGACUCACUCAACGCGCGCGCUCACAAACAGAGAAGUGUCCUCUGGCCAUGCGACUCUGGUUCUCUGCAAUCUCCCUCUCCAAAGAGGACUUCUUGAAUUUUGUUCAAAUCUCCGCUUUCAAACUGCUUGAUUGUACGAAUUCUACAAGAAAUGUCCACCGAUUCUCACGCCCCUAAUCCCAGGGGUGUUCUCUGCAAUGCCGGCGCAGGGGCAGCUGCCGGAGUUAUUGCUGCAACAUUUGUGUGUCCCUUAGAUGUCAUCAAGACUAGAUUUCAGGUUCAUGGGCUUCCGAAGCUCGAUAAUGGAAGUAUUAAAGGAAGUCUCAUAGUGGGUAGUUUGGAACAAAUAUUCCAGAAGGAAGGGCUACGUGGCAUGUACCGGGGCCUUGGUCCUACCGUGCUCGCAUUGCUUCCCAAUUGGGCAGUAUGUGAUAUUAUUUCCUGAAUUUAUUUUCUUAUUCAUGCUUCUUGGAAUGCUGAUUUUCCACAAAAGAGAACGAAAAGAAAGAAUACAGGGAAUCAUGCUUGUUAGUGAUGCGUUUUAUGAUGAUUUCUCUGCUAUGUAAACAAGUUGAAUAUGAAAGGGGAAAGAUUUUGGAUUCCUUACUACUUUGUAUUGUUCAUAUAACUUUAUCUGCAAGUGUUUUUAAUUAAGGUCAAUGUUGUUUCUGAGAAUUGGAGAAAGGAAUGAAUCAAUAAUUAUCAUUGUUAAAUUUAUUGACUCUCUUUUGGAAUGAGUUGACUUAUAGCAAUUUGUUGCUUUGAAGUAAUUCUUAUACUAUGCAACACAUUAGAUGCAUCAAAGUAAUCUUUUAUACUUUUCUGUGCACAUACCUUCUGGAACCACUGAGUGGACAAAUUUCCUAAUUCUAAAGCAAAGCUUUGUUUGGGAAAUGUAGCAUGAUUGAUGGUCUGACGUUCUAAACAAUUGGGAUAGUGAAAGCUCAAAAUUUUAUUUUAUGUUUCUUUUGGCUCAGGAAUCUUGGGUAAUAUUUUUAACCCAGGUAACAUGAUGAAAAAGGGUAUUGCUUGGUCUAUCUAUGGAUGUUUUCUUUGCGAGUCUAGGGACUACUUAUUUCUUCAUUGCAAAUGGGUUGAAGGAUCUUUGGAGUUUUGUGUAUGCUACCCUUGGAAUCAUUUCUUUCUGUGCAAAGAAUAUAGAGAUGGAAUUAGGUGCUGCUAGUUGCUCUUGGUAUAGGACCAGGUAUGGGGAUAUGUUGGAUGCUAUUCAUUUGGCUAUUUUUUGGAGUAUAUAGAGGGACUAAAUUUUGAGGGUUUGAGAAUUAAGAUUGUAGAAAAACCUUUGUACAUAUAAUAAGGAGAGAUGAGUGCAUGCUCUUCAAAUAUGGAUGACAAGGAAUUUUGGGUAGAUCAAUUUGCUUUUAUGAAUUUUGUUAUUAGUGUCUAUCAAAGAGACCCUUAAAUUGUAUACCCUGGGCUGACAUUUGGGGCAUCCAUCUGGUUGAUUCUGAUUUAUUUAUUUUAUAUCAGUGUAAUGCCAUUCAAAUCCUCUGUUCUAUUAUAAACUAUGGUAGGUUGAAAAGGAUUAAUUGCACAUUGGAAAGCUAAAGGAUUUCCUCUUUUGAUCAUUUGCUGCACCAAUUAUUUUAAUGUGAUUUAUCUAUUGGAAUGAUUAAAAGCAACUACUGGGAAAGAAACAAUGAAAGGAGAAGAUAAUUUGUUCAUGAAGUGAAAUAAAAUAUGCCUAUUAAGUUGAAUAAACCAUAAUCAACUUGAUUGCCAAUUUGAAUUUUACUUCUUAAUCCAAAAUUUACUAUGCAGGGGGUUGUUUUAAAGGUAAGAUGUGAUCUUUAAGCUACUUUAUAUUGUGGCCCUCUACUCUGAAACAUACCAUUAGUGAGGCCACUGGUUUAAUUUUAAGGAUAUUAAGGUUUUGGCUGAUUCAGAAUAAUUCUGUCUUUUCUUGUUCCUCAUUUUUUUAGUGGCUUUAUGGGGCUUGUAAUUAUUCCAUUGUAGUUUUCUUUCAAAUGACCCAAUUUUUUAAUGUUUCAGGUUUAUUUUUCAAUAUAUGAGCAGCUCAAAAGCCUUCUUUCUUCCAAUGGUCAGUGCUUACCUGUUGCUUUCAUUAGAGAUGAUAUAAAGCAUCAUUCACACUUUAUUUUUUCAUUUGGUGCAUAGAUUUUUGUGGAGGUCUCCUUGAUGUUUCUUCUUCUUCUCAAGUGUUAUUAUGCCUGUCAUUAUUUGUUUUUCUUAAUGCCAAGUCUUAAUGUUUUUGUAAUGCUGGUGCUUGUGUAGAUGAGAAUCAUCUUUCAAUAGGUGCAAAUAUGAUAGCUGCUUCUGGUGCGGGUGCUACAACAACUAUUUUCACAAAUCCUCUUUGGGUUGUAAAGACAAGACUUCAAGUGCGUUCCACAAAUUCAUGUCGUCAUUUCUAUAUUAUUAAGAAAGAAAUACAAUUAUUGUCACGUUUUAUCAUCUCUUGCUUCUUCCUCCAAUAGCUUUACCAUUAGUAAAUUUAUUGCAUGCCUUUGAUUUUUUCUUUCAAACGUUGAACUGUAGCCACAACCAGAAGGUUUGGGACGGUGUUUGUAUGGUGAAGAGACAAGACACUUGAGUUUCUUGUUGCUGUUGCUGUUACUUCUGAUUAUUGAUUUUACUUUUAACUUGAUAGAGUUGGAAUACUUCUUGAAAGAGUUACCUUAACAAUUUUAUGCUUUAUGCAAGAUAACAAAAAUAUAAAACAAAUCCUAAAUUUACGUAAUGGACAUUAUUUGGUAAGCAAAGCAGAAUAAUAGAGGAAGAAUCAAUGGAAGGGAGAAUAAUUUUAGCUUGUCGCUUGCAAGAGUUGAAAAGUUAUUGCAUCUUUAAAGAUUUGGAAACACUUCAAUUCACUUUUUCCUCUCUCCUUUUGCUCUCUAGACCCAAGGAAUGAGAGCAGGUGUGGUUCCAUACAGGAGUACGCUGUCUGCUUUGAGGAGAAUAGCUCAUGAAGAGGGUAUUCGUGGGUUAUACAGGUGCCAUUUUCUACAGCCUAUUUCAGUGAACUUAUGUGAGUAAUUUAUUCUAGUUGCAAAGAUGAAACAAAAUAAUAAUUUUAAGCUUUGUGUGGUGAGCAGUGGUCUUGUGCCUGCAUUGGCUGGCAUCAGUCACGUUGCCAUUCAAUUUCCAAUAUAUGAGAAGAUCAAAUUUUAUUUGGCCAAUCAAGAUAAUACUACAAUGGAUAAACUAAGUGCGCGCCAUGUUGCUGUUGCCUCAUCAGUCUCAAAAAUAUUUGCUUCCACAUUGACAUAUCCCCAUGAGGUAUCCUGCUGAACAAAUUCUCUAUUAAUAUAUACUCUUAAUAAAAAAAUAUUCAUAUCAGCAUGAAGAAUAGAAAAGUCAUGGUUGCUAAUUGCUAAUCAAUUUUCAUUCCUCGCCUCCACCAAAUUUGCUAAAAUAAUAAGUUGAAAGAGGAUGUUUAAAGACUUUCGCAGAUUACAUCAAUUUUUAAAGGGAUGCUUGUAAUUUAAAAUGUUAUUUCCUUUUCAACCUUCACAAUGGAACAUGUUUACCUAAAUGUGUUGACUAUCUACCACUCAUGUUGCUAAGAAUAUGUUCAUUGUAUGCUAAAGGACCUUUUCCUUAGUGAGCUAAGCAGUAUUUGUUUUCCUUAUCUGAUAAGCUGCCUUUUAAGGUCAGUCUUUUGGCAGCUAGUGACCACUGUUUGACUUUGGUGUUUGGAGGGCCCAACUAACAGGAAUUGUUGCUAUCUGUGUUGACUACUUAGUCAGCUCAAAUGAUAAUAAAUUAGUUCUCCUAUGAUAUUUGCAGGUUGUACGCUCAAGGCUUCAAGAACAGGGCCACCAUUCUGAGAAGCGUUACUCUGGUGUAGUUGAUUGCAUAAAAAAAGUAUUUCAGCAGGAUGGUUUUCCUGGUUUUUACCGUGGGUGUGCCACCAACCUUCUUAGGACCACCCCUGCUGCUGUUAUUACAUUCACUAGCUUUGAGAUGAUUCACCGGUUUCUUGUUACCCUUUUCCCUCCUGACCCACAUCCUCACACAUUGUGAAAGUGGAUUGAUCUCGAGACUGUUUGUAUGGAUGGACCAACUUGCAUUACCAUGGACAACAAAAUGGAAGAAUUGCUGAGGUUAGGUUGACAUUGUCUCGGUGAUGAUACGAUUCUGGAUUGCUUGUGUUAUGUAUUUAUUUCAGGUAGUUUUUGUAGCAACAGUGACGGAUAUUAAAGCUAUAUCAUCCCCGCAUAGAACUUCUGCACUUAAAAGUGACUGAAGGGGAAGGAAAUUUAUAUUGUACUGAUAGUGAUAAUGACGACAGAAAGGGUACUUUGUGCUUGUGGACAAAUGUUCGAACAUUUUUUCUGUGAUGACUUCUGAAUAAAUUUUAUGAGAAAUUUUUUACUUUCAACUUAUUUGUCAUUCUAGCAGCAGGAUUGCACCAUGUGGA
rnacentral:misc_RNA from 1 species